AUGCUGAAUUUUGUGUUUGUGUGCAUUGAUUUUGCAGGCGUGCUGAGGACUGAGAUCAACCCGUCGCUCGACAAGGUGACCGUCGUCGGCGACGUGGACAGCAGGGUGCUCGUCAAGAAGCUCUCGAAGGUCGGCAAGAUCGCCGAGGUGAUGGCGCCGCCGCCGCCGCCGUCACCGGCUGCGCCUUCGGAAGAAGGCAAGAAGAGCGACAGCAAUGGCGGCGAGAAGCCGACCUCGCCGGCGGACGAGAAGAGCACGCGCAAGGACGAAGGCAAGGACGGCAAAGGCGACAAGUCACCAGCGGUGGCGGCGGCGGAAUGCAGCAAGUGCACGGCAGGGAAGGAAGCCGCCACACGCGCCGACGAGGCUGGCCGCGCCGCUGGGAAGACGACGUCGUCCAAGGACGCCACCACCAAGAGCAGCGGCGACGGCGACAAAUCUGAACCAGCGGCGGUGGUGGUG
rnacentral:lncRNA from 1 species